rnacentral:tRNA from 2 species
GGUCCCAUAGCUCAGCUGGAUAGAGCAACUGCCUUCUAAGCAGUAGGUCCGAGGUUCGAAUCCUCGUGGGAUCGCCA